UGAGGAAUAUUGGUCAAUGGGCGAGAGCCUGAACCAGCCAAGUAGCGUGCAGGAUGACGGCCCUAUGGGUUGUAAACUGCUUUUAUGUGGGGAUAAAGUGCGUGACGUGUCAUGCAUUGCAGGUACCACAUGAAUAAGGACCGGCUAAUUCCGUGCCAGCAGCCGCGGUAAUACGGAAGGUCCGGGCGUUAUCCGGAUUUAUUGGGUUUAAAGGGAGCGUGGCUGUCUAUUAAGCGUGUUGUGAAAUUUACCGGCUCAACCGGUGGCUUGCAGCGCGAACUGGUCGACUUGAGUAUGCAGGAAGUAGGCGGAAUUCAUGGUGUAGCGGUGAAAUGCUUAGAUAUCAUGACGAACUCCGAUCGCGCAGGCAGCUUACUGUAGCAUAACUGACGCUGAUGCUCGAAAGUGCGGGUAUCAAACAGG
rnacentral:rRNA from 1 species